rnacentral:tRNA from 1 species
GCCCCGGUAGCCCAGCGGAAGAGGCAAUGGUCUCAAACACCAUACAGCGUGGGUUCGAAUCCCACCCGGGGUA